GUUUGGCAGAUAUGUAAUACAGCCUGGUUAAGAGGAUUUGGUCAAAGAGGAGGGAGGUUAUUGUGUGAUUUAAUCAUGGUCACCGAGGUGAACCUGCUCUUGUCCACUUCCCGACGUGGUCCUAUAGCAGCAUAUAGAGGGGCAGGUGUGUUCAAGCUGGAAGCAUACUGCCGGAAUGCUCUGCGCUUUCAUGAAGGGACCCGUUUGAGCCUUUUGCAGCUGUACGGACAGCUGUUUUGUGCUAAAGCCUGCGAAAAAAAGAGAUUCUUGGAGAUUCUCAGGGAGCAAUUAGGUGUCCUGCUCAGGGACACUUCGACAUGGGACAUGGAGCAGCCGGGGCUCAAACCGCCGACCAUGCGGUUCCCAGCGCACCCUCUCUACCACGUCGACCCCGUAUUAAGACUGCAGGACCCCCCGCGCGGGCCGGAAGGAGAGGGCCAACAAUCAGCGACCCUUCGCUCCUCGCUGGUUCUUUGUACCCAAACCUUUCUCUUCCCCCAACGUAACUAAGUAGUUUCCUCUCAAAACAGAGGUGUUUAAGAGUAACUCUUUGAAAUAUACACUCUGCAUCAAAAAGGAAAAGACUCAAUUAAUAAUUCAUGAAAUGCCGCUGAAGGAGCCAACAGAGCUCAUAGCACAUGGUUUCUGCGCCGCCAUUGAAGCCCACCCGCGGUACAUUGAGUGUAUUGGACCUGGGUAACCGCACACACCUGCUUACACGGGAGAGGUCAAGCUAAGCGCUGCGUUCAAAGCAGCGGCCUUCAGAGAGUGCGCGUCGUGCCGGUGGAACGAGUCUCUAAAGAACCCAGAGAGCACCGUGGUUUUCAAGUUUGAAACAACCAGCUCCUCCGCCAGCUGAGAGAAUCAUCCUCUGGUUUGACGGCAGUGACUCUUGGUGUCUGUUUGGCUUCAAACCAGUUGGCCUCAGUUCUUCGAGUCUUUGUGUCUGGAGGAAACCAGGAUCCUGCACAAUAUCAUUCCGAAGGUGGCGCGUGGCGUCGCCCAGCCGGGGGCCCGGGCUGGAGCCCAAACAAACAUCUCUGCAGGGACCCUGGAAGUGGCGCCGCUUAUCCAAUGGCAGGAAAUCCCCAAAUCCAGAGUCUGCAGACUCUUGUAAAUGUGAU
ensembl:lncRNA